GAACAGGUGAAAAUGGAAUUACCAGAAACCAGUUUGAGAAAGUCCACCCAAUAUUUGACAGCUGCUCCAGAUUCACCUGACAACACCAAACCUUUGAAGAGGAAACAUGAGGGCUGUUGUUAUGCUGUACAUGGCCCUACUGCUGGUUGCAUUUGUUUGCAGUGCCUACGCCGCAUGCCGCAAUGGAAGAUGCACUAAAAGGUGUGGCCCAGGUGAACGAGAGGACACCAGCUCACACUGUGGCGGUGGAAACAUAUGCUGUGUCGAGAAAGACUGAUGAAGGAUUUGUCUGAAUGAAGACACCGGCUGGAUAGAUAUUCUGACUGUUCAACUGUAUGGCUCAAUAAAUAUUGAUGAGUGCUUCAUAAAAA